rnacentral:rRNA from 1 species
CCUACGGGAGGCUGCAGUGAGGAAUAUUGGUCAAUGGGCGCGAGCCUGAACCAGCCAAGUCGCGUGAGGGAAGACGGUCCUAUGGAUUGUAAACCUCUUUUGUCGGGGAGCAAAAGACGCCACGCGUGGCGUUCCGAGCGUACCCGAAGAAACAGCAUCGGCUAACUCCGCGCCAGCAGCCGCGGUAAUACGGAGGAUGCGAGCGUUAUCCGGAUUUAUGGGGUUAAAGGGGUGCGCAGGCGGAAGAUCAGGUCAGCGGGAAAAUUGCGGGGCUCAACCUGUGCGAGCUGUUGAAACUGGGGUGCUGGAGUGGGCGAGAAGCAGGCGGAAUGCGUGGUGUAGCGGUGAAAUGCAUAGAUAUCACGCAGAACACCGAUUGCGAAGGCAGCAUACCGGAGCGCAACUGACGCUCAUGCACGAAAGUGUGGGUAUCGAACAGGAUUAGAUACCCGAGUAGUC